rnacentral:rRNA from 1 species
UUAUAAGAGACAGCAGCCGCCACGGGAAUACAGAGGGUGCGAGCGUUAAUCGGAUUUACUGGGCGUAAAGCGUGCGUAGGCGGCUUUUUAAGUCGGAUGUGAAAUCCCUGAGCUUAACUUAGGAAUUGCAUUCGAUACUGGGAAGCUAGAGUAUGGGAGAGGAUGGUAGAAUUCCAGGUGUAGCGGUGAAAUGCGUAGAGAUCUGGAGGAAUACCGAUGGCGAAGGCAGCCAUCUGGCCUAAUACUGACGCUGAGGUACGAAAGCAUGGGGAGCAAACAGGAUUAGAGACCCCUGUAGUCCCUGUCUCUUAUAC